rnacentral:rRNA from 1 species
GUACACUCCUGCGGGAGGCAGCAGUGGGGAAUAUUGCACAAUGGGCGCAAGCCUGAUGCAGCCAUGCCGCGUGUAUGAAGAAGGCCUUCGGGUUGUAAAGUACUUUCAGCGGGGAGGAAGGCAAUACGGUUAAUAACCGUGUUGAUUGACGUUACCCGCAGAAGAAGCACCGGCUAACUCCGUGCCAGCAGCCGCGGUAAUACGGAGGGUGCAAGCGUUAAUCGGAAUUACUGGGCGUAAAGCGCACGCAGGCGGUCUGUCAAGUCGGAUGUGAAAUCCCCGGGCUCAACCUGGGAACUGCAUUCGAAACUGGCAGGCUUGAGUCUUGUAGAGGGGGGUAGAAUUCCAGGUGUAGCGGUGAAAUGCGUAGAGAUCUGGAGGAAUACCGGUGGCGAAGGCGGCCCCCUGGACAAAGACUGACGCUCAGGUGCGAAAGCGUGGGGAGCAAACAGGAUUAGAUACCCCGGUAGUCCCAU